GCUCUUAACCGUGAUGGGCUAUCUCCAUUGCAGAAAUGCACAUCAGCUAUUCGCCAAUUGGCAUAUGGUACUCCCGCUGACGCUCUCGAUGAGUACCUGAAGAUUGCCGAGUGCACAUCAAUUAAGUGCUUAAAGCUGUUCGUCAAAGGCGUGAUUCAUAUAUUUGGUGAUGAGUAUAUGCGAAAACCCAAUGUCAACGAUGUGCAACGCUUACUUGAUAUUGGAGAGAGUCGUGGGUUUCCUGGCAUGUUAGGAAGCCUCGACUGUAUGCACUGGCGUUGGGACAAAUGUCCCAUGGAGUGGAAGGGACAAUUCACCAGUGGGUAUAAAGGCGUCCCUACUCUUAUUCUAGAGGCGGUUGCUUCUCAGGAUCUUUGGAUAUGA
rnacentral:rRNA from 1 species